rnacentral:lncRNA from 1 species
GACCUAAACUUGUGGGAUGAAAACUUGAUCUGAAGUCUAAGUUGUUAACGGAUACGAUAUGGGAAGGUUGAGCUGCUGUUUAUCUGUUCCUAGAGAUGCUAGAAUUCUGGAGAAUUUUAUUUUUGAAAAUCUUUAAAAUGUUGCAUGAUGAGUUCCUGUAUGAUGAGAGUUUAAAUUCCUACCACAGCCAUAUAUACAUGCUUGUUAGACUUUGAGCCACACAUUUAUUAUUUACUGCUUAUGAGCAUUGAGUGUGGUCAAGCUGUGUUGACCCUUAGGAGCUUGUCAUGUGGUUAAAUCAAGAUUUCACUUGCACGUUCACUCAUAUAUGCUACUUCUACCCCGGAAGUACCAUCCACAUAUAUCCACCCAUUCCAUCUCCGGAAUCACCCAAAAAUAUUCUACUCCUAACCCGGGAGAGAAUAACCAAAAAUAUUUCUGUUUUCCCCUUGUGAAAUAAAUGCUCAAGUUAUCUUGUUACUACCACUUGCUAUAUUAUCUCAAGAGAUGAAUGCUCUGAAAAAAAAGAAAGAUACGAGGAAAUAAAAAGGAGCAAGUGCUCGGAACCUCGAAAGAAAAGAAAAGUGAGACGAGAGGUAAAAAUGGACAAGUGUCCGACAGUAGAAUUAGGGGUGCAAGAUACGCACCUGAGAGGAAAGAAAAAGAUAGAGCAUCUCAUUCUCAUCAUAAAGUUUCAAAAAGCAAGGAAGGUAUGUAACCCCUCAAAAGAGCAAAAGUAGAAUUAGACUUCCACCUCCAUUGUUUUCACCAUUGUUUCCACCAUUGUUAUCACCAUCAUCACCAUACACCAUCCAUUCGCCACACAUGCACAUCUUGAUUAAACUUAUUGACUUGUUACUUUGGAUCCAUGGUUUGACUAUGCAAUAAAUGUCUUGUAAGUAUGUAUACUUUAUCUCCCACCUAUGAGCUCCAGAUAUUAAAGCCUUAUUAGAGUAGGGUGAGAGAGAAGGCAAUGUCACUAUGCCUCAUACCACAAAUACUACAUAUUUUGAGAGAAGGCAUAUACCAUCACUGCCUUGGUAAGGAUCCAAAAAUACCACAAAAGAGAGACCUGAGAGAAUCAUACAAGGAAUUUCUGAGUUUUAUUUGAAAAUCUGCAAAAACCCCAGAGCUAUAGCUGAUCAAGAAUAAGAGACAUGGCACUUGGCUAGACUGUUCUAUCUUUUAACUACUCAAGACAGAAGUGAUAGUUACAAGUCCCAUGGUGAAGGUAAAGUAAGUAAGUUUUAAGUCUUGACAGUUUACUCUAACUCAG